UGGGGAAUAUUGGACAAUGGGCGCAAGCCUGAUCCAGCCAUGCCGCGUGAGUGAAGAAGGCCUUCGGGUUGUAAAGCUCUUUUGUCCGGAAAGAAAUCCUGUCGGUUAAUACCCGGCGGGGAUGACGGUACCGGAAGAAUAAGCACCGGCUAACUUUCGUGCCAGCAGCCGCGGUAAUACGAAGGGUGCAAGCGUUACUCGGAAUUACUGGGCGUAAAGCGUGCGUAGGUGGUUCGUUAAGUCUGAUGUGAAAGCCCUGGGCUCAACCUGGGAACUGCAUUUGGAUACUGGCGAUCUGGAGUGCGGUAGAGGGGUGCGGAAUUCCCGGUGUAGCAGUGAAAUGCGUAGAUAUCGGGAGGAACAUCCGUGGCGAAGGCGGCACCCUGGACCAGCACUGACACUGAGGCACGAAAGCGUGGGGAGCAAACAGGAUUAGAUACCCGUGGUAGUCCACGCCCUAAACGAUGCGAACUGGAUGUUGGGUGCAGCUUGGCACUCAGUAUCGAAGCCUAACGCGUUAAGUUCGCCGCCNGGGAAGUACGGUCGCAAGACUGAAACUUAAAGGAAUUG
rnacentral:rRNA from 1 species